AAGCUAGUAUUCUAAACUAAACUAUUUCCUGG
rnacentral:tRNA from 1 species